rnacentral:rRNA from 1 species
UACAGAGGUCUCAAGCGUUGUUCGGAUUCAUUGGGCGUAAAGGGUGCGUAGGUGGCGUCGUAAGUCAGGUGUGAAAUCUCGGGGCUCAACCCCGAAACUGCACUUGAUACUGCGAUGCUCGAGUACUGGAGAGGAGAUUGGAAUUUACGGUGUAGCAGUGAAAUGCGUAGAUAUCGUAAGGAAGACCAGUGGCGAAGGCGAAUCUCUGGACAGU